rnacentral:misc_RNA from 1 species
GGAAAGCAUGCUGAAGAUGAGCAA